rnacentral:rRNA from 1 species
GACGAACGCUGGCGGCGCGCCUAACACAUGCAAGUCGAACGGUGAAGAGGAGCUUGCUCCUCGGAUCAGUGGCGGACGGGUGAGUAACACGUGAGCAACCUGCCUUUCAGUGGGGGACAACAGUUGGAAACGACUGCUAAUACCGCAUAACGUGCCGGAAGGGCAUCCUUCUGGUACCAAAGAUUUAUCGCUGAAAGAUGGGCUCGCGUCUGAUUAGAUAGUUGGUGAGGUAACGGCCCACCAAGUCGACGAUCAGUAGCCGGACUGAGAGGUUGAUCGGCCACAUUGGGACUGAGACACGGCCCAG